rnacentral:rRNA from 1 species
UACGAAGGGGGCUAGCGUUGCUCGGAAUCACUGGGCGUAAAGGGCGUGUAGGCGGGAAGGAAAGUCAGAUGUGAAAUCCCUGGGCUCAACCCAGGAACUGCAUUUGAAACUCCCUUUCUUGAGUGUCGGAGAGGAAAGUGGAAUUCCUGGUGUAGAGGUGAAAUUCGUAGAUAUCAGGAGGAACACCGGUGGCGAAGGCGGCUUUCUGGACGACAACUGACGCUGAGACGCGAAAGCGUGGGGAGCAAACGGG